rnacentral:sRNA from 1 species
UGCCGGUGGCACGGGGGGAGGAACAGUGA